AGAGUUUGAUUCUGGCUCAGAACGAACGUUGGCAGCGCGGAUUAGGCAUGCAAGUCGAACGGGAAUCCACAUUUUCAAUCCUUCGGGAGAGAAAGUGCGGAGGAGAGUGGCGUAAGGGUGAGUAACGCGUGGGCAAUUUACCUUGAAGUUGGGGAUAACUCCGCGAAAGCGGUGCUAAUACCGAAUGUGAUCUCCUGUCGCAUGGCAGGAUGAUUAAAGGUGGGGAUUCGUAAGAACCUGUCACUUCGAGAGAUGCCCGCGUCCUAUCAGCUUGUUGGUGAGGUAACGGCUCACCAAGGCUUACGGGUAGCUGGUCUGAGAGGAUGGUCAGCCACACUGGGACUGAGACACUGCCCAGACUCCUACGGGAGGCUGCAGUCGAGGAUCAUUUGCAAUGCGCGAAAGCGUGACAAUGCGACGCUGCGUGGGGGAUGAAGGCCUUCGGGUUGUAAACUCCUGUCAUUCGGGAGCAAAGGCAAAAGGGGGAAUAUCCCUUUUGUCCUGAUAGUACCGAAAGAGGAAGUCACGGCUAACUCUGUGCCAGCAGCCGCGGUAACACAGAGGUGGCGAACGUUGUUCGGAUUUACUGGGCGUAAAGGGUGCGUAGGUGGGUUCGUAUGUCGGAUGUGAAAUUUCAUCGCUCAACGGUGAACCUGCAUUCGAAACUGCGGAUCUGGAGUGUAUGAGGGGAGAGCGGAAUUCUUGGUGUAGCGGCGAAAUGCGUUGAUAUCAAGAAGAACACCGGUGGCGAAGGCGGCUCUCUGGCAUGCUACUGACACUGAGGCACGAAAGUUGGGGGAGCAAACAGGAUUAGAUACCCUGGUAGUCCCAACCGUAAACGGUGUACACUUGGUGUGGGGGGAUUUGACCCCUUCCGUACCGGAGCUAACGCGUUAAGUGUACCGCCUGGGGAGUACGGCCGCAAGGCUAAAACUCAAAGAAAUUGACGGGGGCCCGCACAAGCGGAGGAGCAUGUGGCUUAAUUCGAUGCAACGCGAAGAACCUUACCAGGGCUUGACAUGUAGCUGCACGUUCGCUGAAAGGUGAAAAGCCUUCGAGGGUGCUACACAGGUGCUGCAUGGCUGUCGUCAGUUCGUGCCGUGAGGUGUUGGGUUAAGUCCCGCAACGAACGCAACCCUUGUGAUUAGUUGCUACCAGGUAAUGCUGGGCACUCUGAUCAGACUGCCUGUACAAGCAGGAGGAAGGUGGGGAUGACGUCAAGUCAGUAUGGCCCUUACGCCCUGGGCUGCACACGUGCUACAAUGGCUGGUACAAUGGGACGCGAUACCGCGAGGUGGAGCAAAUCCUCAAAACCGGCCUCAGUUCGGAUUGGAGUCUGCAACUCGACUCCAUGAAGUCGGAUUCGCUAGUAAUGGCGCAUCAGCUACGGCGCCGUGAAUACGUUCCCGGGCCUUGUACACACCGCCCGUCACAUCAUGAAAGCCGUCUGCACCCGAAGUCGCUGAUCUAACCUCGAAUUAUCGAGGAGGAAGGUGCCGAAGGUGUGGGUGGUGAUUGGGAUGAAGUCGUAACAAGGUA
rnacentral:rRNA from 1 species